rnacentral:rRNA from 1 species
AGAGUUUGAUCAUGGCUCAGGAUGAACGCUAGCGGCAGGCUUAAUACAUGCAAGUCGAGGGGCAUCGGAUCCCUUCGGGGAUGCCGGCGACCGGCGAACGGGUGAGUAACACGUAUGGAACCUGCCCUUAACUGGGGGAUAGCCCCGAGAAAUCGGGGUUAAUACCCCAUACCAUAAUGAAGGGGCAUCCCUUCAUUAUGAAAGCUCCGGCGGUUAAGGAUGGCCAUGCGGUCCAUUAGCUUGUUGGUGAGGUAACUGCUCACCAAGGCCACGAUGGAUAGCUGAUCUGAGAGGAUGGUCAGCCACAUUGGCACUGAGACACGGGCCAAACUCCUACGGGAGGCAGCAGUAGGGAAUCUUGGUCAAUAGGCGAAAGCCUGAACCAGCCAUGCCGCGUGCAGGAUGAAGGCCCUACGGGUCGUAAACUGCUUUUAUUCGGGAAGAAAAAGUCUGUGUCCACAGACCUUGACGGUACCGAAUGAAUAAGGACCGGCCAACUCCGUGCCAGCAGCCGCGGUAAUACGGAGGGUCCAAGCGUUAUCCGGAUUCACUGGGUUUAAAGGGUGCGCAGGCGGUCAAGUAAGUCAGUGGUGAAAGCCUUCGGCUCAACCGGAGAAUUGCCAUUGAAACUACCUGACUUGAGUGUAGUUGAGGUGGGCGGAAUGUAGCAUGUAGCGGUGAAAUGCAUAGAUAUGCUACAGAACACCGAUAGCGAAAGCAGCUCACCAGACUACGACUGACGCUGAGGCACGAAAGCAUGGGUAGC